ensembl:lncRNA
CUUGGAAGGAAGUAGCAGUGAGAGGAUAAGAUAAAACCACGGUUCGUCAAACUGUUAACAGGAACUAGUCACAGGUAGGACCUAGACCUAGUCACGGGUAGGACCUAGACCUAGUCACGGGUAGGAUCUAGACCUAGUCACAGGUAGGACCUAGACCUAGUCACGGGUAGGACCUAGACCUAGUCACGGGUAGGAUCUAGACCUAGUCACGGGUAGGACCUAGACCUAGUCACAGGUAGGACCUAGACCUAGGACCUUAAAUCUUCUUAAUUAAGCACAAACAGUGCAGCAGGGACAAUUAAAGUUUGUUGAUGUCAGUGCACAUUUGAUGACACGCAGCUGAUUCACUGAUUCAGUCUAACAACUUUUAUUUAAAAAAAAAAAAGUGGUUUGGGAGGCGAAAGAGUCGACUCUUAUUUAUGAGUCAAAUAAUUCACCGACUCGCUAAUAAAGAGCUGGAAUUCCCCUCACUAUUAGGUACAUCUCACACCUUUUACAUCAUCGCUCCCAUUCUCACCGUAAGAAAUAGAAAUGGAGAGAGGGAAGCCUGUGUGUGUGUGUGUGUUUGGUGCGCACUCAGAAUCAUCUCUUCCCCCGAAAUCCUGAAUUAGGCGCUGUGUGUGAGCGAGUGGUUAAUUUUUUAUCUGUCUCAGUGGACACUCGUCUGCCAAAUCUGAGAGAAGUGAAUCUCUCUUAUCUCCUCCAGCACGCUGUGUGAGCUCCACUUCAUUAUUCAGCUGGCAGCGCAUGACACAGAGUCACACACACACCCCGAACACACCCUAUACAUCCGAGACCACACACACACACACACACACGCGCGCACGCAGCAACUUAUCUUUCCGAACAGCAGCUCGGACAGUAGCGCAGCUGCAAAUCACAGCUUCAUAUUAUUUAUUCGAAUACUUCAUUGUUUCUAUAGUAACAGCACAGACUUGUGAAGCGUGCGCGCCACAUAAACGGAUUAAAAAGCAUGUUUUUAAUGUCUCCAGCGUCAGUGGUUUGCAUCAGUCAGAGGUAAAGCUGUAAGUUUAAGUUUUUCGAGGUACUUCAGGACAGAGGAGUGACAAACUGCUUGUUUUUGUCUUAUAACUUUAAGAGAGAGGAAAAAAGAGAGGGCUGGUGAGAGAGGAGCAUUUAUAGCUGCUAUAACGUAAGGGAGGAUAUGAACUACACCAGUACUGUCACUAUAAACAGAUGAAAAGCAUGACGUGUCAGUCUUUGAUAAAUACGACACUGUUACAACUGCUGUAGGAAAGUAAUCAGUGUAGUAACAGUGACUCCUCUUCAUCAUUUGAUUCUUUUCCACGACACUGAGUCGUUUAUUCUUUACAUAACACACUCACACUUUAACCUAGUUAUCAGGUUUUUAUUUUGAAAUGAAACUGGAAGCAGUGGUAGUGUACUCGGAGGCGUACUGCUCUAAGAGCGUGUCAGAUGGUCGUCUCGCUCUCUUUCUCUGAUUACUCUGUGUCGUUUUUAACCAGGGAAUGAAUUUGAGGCGCUUAAGCCGCAGUUAGUGAGUCAUACUGACUUAAAUUAUGAGAUAGGAAUUCUGAAUAUAUCAUGAAAAAGCGAAAGAAACAUUUGUAGAAAGUUAAGGAACUCUUAAAGAACUGUUGUUUUUCAUUAGAUACAAAAAUAGACGAUGUUAUACAGAAAGACAGUGAGACAGACAGGCAGACAGAUACAGAGACAGCAGCAGCAGUUACACAGACAGACAGACAGGAAGGGAGGGAGAUGGACAGACAGAGAGAGAGACACAGGGAGACAGAUAGGCAGACAGGGAGACAGACACACAGUUAGGGAGAGAGACAGGGAGACAGACAGACAAGUAAACAGACAGGAAGGCAGACAGACAGUGAGUCAGACAGACAGGAAGACAGAGAGACAGACAGGAAGCCAGGCACAAAGCCAGACAGGAAACCAGGUAGAGAGACAGACACGGAGACAGACAGACAGACAGGGAGACAGACAGAAAGACAUUCAGGAAGACAGACAACAGGUAAACAGAUAGGAAGGCGGACAGACAGUGAGUCAGACAGACAGGAAGACAGAGAGACAGACAGGAAGCCAGGUAGGGAGACAGACAGGGAGACAGACAGGGAGACAAACAGAAUGACAGACAGACAGUGAGUCAGACAGACAGGAAGCCAGGCACAAAGCCAGACAGGAAACCAGAUAGAGAGACAGACACGGAGACAGACAGACAGACAGGGAGACAGACAGAAAGACGUUCAGACAACAGGUAAACAGAUAGGAAAGCAGACAGACAGCGAGACAGAUAGACAGGAAGCCAAACAGACAGACAGGAAGCCAGGCACAAAGCCAGACAGGAAACCAGAUAGAGAGACAGACACGGAGACAGACAGACAGACAGGGAGACAGACAGAAAGACGUUCAGACAACAGGUAAACAGAUAGGAAAGCAGACAGACAGCGAGACAGAUAGACAGGAAGCCAGGCAGACAGACAGGAAGCCAGACAUAAAGCCAGACAGAUAGCCAGGUAGGGAAACAGACAGAAAGACAGUCAGGACAGACAGACAGUGAGACAGACAGACAGGAAGACAGGGAGACAGACAGGAAGUCAGACAGGUAGACAGACUGUCUAGUUGUAGAGUAACUGUAUUUUCACUCUGCAGUAGAUCAGUGUGAAUAUGGAAUUAGAGUUGUAGUGUAAUGUGCUUUGUUGCCGGUGCGUAUGCAGCUGUUGUUUAUCAAUCACUACAAUAAAAAGCAGUGGAUUCAUACUUCUCUUUUCUCCACAAACAUACUAAAUACUUUAUAAACGCCAAGAGUGUAUGAGCGUGAUCUAAUUGAUCUGUAGUACUUAUAUACAGCAUAUGUUAAUUAGUCUUUAAUUCAUAUGAUCUAAAAGUUUAAAAAUGGCCCCAGAUUAUUCGCAUUGUUUAGGAGUGAGGGUGACCAGACGUCCCGCUUUGUGUCGUAAUGCACAGCUUUUCAAUCCUUUCUCCCACGCCCCCCAACUUGAGGCGAUGUCCCGCGUAUUGACUGGAAAUAAAGAGUCUAAACUACUCCGACGUGCGAAGGUCGUUUCAUAAACUUUUUUUUUUUUUUUUUACAGUGGCUGUAAAGAAAAUAUUGAAGCCUGUCAUUAAAGGGCUGUCAGCUGUCACUCAAACUGGACACACCUGAGGUCAAGCCACAGAAAUCCUUUUUUAUUCCACUUACUUUUUUUAAGCAUUAAUCUUUCUCUUUGUUGCAUCCUUUCAUACAAAAGACAUAAAUAUGAAUAAAUAUGAAUGUGCUGAGAGGACACGCUUCUUAUUCAUUUAGAUAGAUGGCCUUUGGGCGUCGGGAAUACGUCCCACGUUGUCCCACACGAACUUACUACUUGUCCCGCAUUUGUUCCGUUUGCAUCCGGUCACCCUAUGAGGACUGGCUCAGGCGUUUAGAGGACGAAUUAGACUCGCACAUCACGCCUCUAACGACUGCGUGUUUAACAGCACCACUAACACACAUAGAUUUUCCCAUUAACUUCUGAUUCAGGCCGCUGUAAUUUACAAGUGACUGAUACAGUGAAUACGUCGUAACUCAGCCGUGAAGCGUCUCCAUCACUCGUCCCGGUGCAGAGGUAGUGACACUCAUCACACAGGUCCAAUUCUUCUUAAUUAAAACGUAAUCAGACUUCUGACACAUUCAUUUAUGAUCUCCUGAGUGUGUGGAUGUUUCUGCACUCCUUCUUCCUGUUCUGUAUUUAUAGCUCCUGCACUUCGAUUCAUCACUGUGCGACGGUCACAUACGCACAUACGCGUCCCUCGGAACGAGCCGUCACUAUGGGAACAGUAACGUGUUAGGACGAGCGCACGGAUAUAGACCUGCGCUACUGUCCGAGCCGCUGUUCUAGAAAAUGAAUCAACACCUGACGACCAAUCGGGUUUGAGAAUUCAACAGCAUCAUGGGAUAUGAAUGCACAAUGUAAGCAAAUAUGUUUUGCACACUGGAUUUGGAAAUAAUAGGUUUGCGCUUCUUGGAUCUUGAGAAGAGUACGUGAGCAAAUUUAGAUGUGAAGAGUGAAAGUACUGUGUGUACGCUCUGAAACACUAGCCAAGGUUUCGUUUCUUCUCAGAGUAUACAUCGUGUAACCGUAACACUUUGUGUUGUUUUGUGCUCCUUGAACAUCCUGUCCGGAGACAUCUCCUUCCACCCUGCUCAAUAAUGCACGGCCUGCACGACUUAUUCAGGGCAGUGAGCCUUAAGGAAACACUUUAGCCCCAAACACUAAUGUUAUUAAUAAUGAAUGACAGCCAGUUGGGAACAGUUAGUGCUAUGCAAAUGAGAGAGGGCUAAUAGGCCAACCGCUGGGUUUCAAUCAUCGUUAACUCUGUUAGCAUUUUGGGGUGAACUUUUAAGGUUGAGGAAAUUCAUUAGCCCACUUUCGUACGUGUAUGUACAGAGCUGGCUUGGGGCUGCAGUUUGAGACGUAAAAGUGUUUCCUCAGAAGUGUCCUCACACCCGCUUUCAACAGAUUAAACACUGGGUACAAGGUGCUGCUGUGAGGAUGACACGUUCAACAUGGAAAAUCAGAAUGAAAUAAACUAAUGGUCCAGUCUGAUCUGGUACUGAUCCAGAGUCUCAUUCUGCUAUGCAGGUGGCAGCAGUGAUUGAUCAACAGGAAAGGAAAUGCAGGAAUGAAUGGUUUAUUUAUUUUAUUUUUAUUGCUUUAAACUUUAUUAAAUAUAAAACAGAGCUGAUAUAUUUAUUAACAUUUUGGGGCUGGUAUUGUGGGUGGGAACUGUGGUCUAACUGGUUGCAUUAUGCAUGGGAAGUGCAUUCUGACUGGUUAAAGUAACUGCUUUCUGAUUGGGUAUAAUGGCAUUACAACCAGGAAGUGUGUUCUGAUUGGUUACAGUGGCAUUAUAACCAGGAAGUGUGUUCUGAUUGGUUACACUGACGUUACAGGGAGGAAGUGUGAUCUGAUUGGUUACAGUGGCAUUACAACCAGGAAGUGUGUUCUGAUUGGUUACACUGACGUUACAGGGAGGAAGUGUGUUCUGAUUGGUUACAGUGGCAUUACAGGGAGGAAGUGUGAUCUGAUUGGUUACACUGACGUUACAGGGAGGAAGUGUGUUCUGAUUGGUUACACUGACGCUACAGGGAGGAAGUGUGUUCUGAUUGGUUACACUGACGUUACAGGGAGGAAGUGUGUUCUGAUUGGUUACAAUGACGUUACAGGGAGGAAGUGUGAUCUGAUUGGUUACACUGACGUUACAGGGAGGAAGUGUGUUCUGAUUGGUUACACUGACGUUACAGGGAGGAAUGUGCUCUGAUUGGUUACACUGACGUUACAGGGAGGAAGUGUGUUCUGAUUGGUUACACUGACGUUACAGGGAGGAAGUUUGAUCUGAUUGGUUACACUGACGUUACAGGGAGGAAGUGUGUUCUGAUUGGUUACACUGACGUUACAGGGAGGCUGUUUAUGAUGAACAGAGCAGUGAGUUCAUGAAUUAAUGAUCUAGAUCGAGCUGUCUUUAGCCGGAGUAAAGCAGUGGACAGGUGGAUUUGCAGGUUUUUCAGCUCCAUUCCGUCUCGGUGAGCAGCAGGAAAGCGCCACAGCUCUAUAAACAGGAUCAUUCUGACCCACAGCUGCACUUUCCCGUCCCUCAGAGCAUUCACGCCUCAGUUUUUAUCCUCUAAAGUGCAUUCUUGGCGCAGUUCACAUUAAUGAGACACGGCAUGUAUGGCCUGCAGCACAAUGCUCGACUUAGGGAGUUUUUCCUCGCCACCGUCACCACCGGUUCGCUCAAUAGGCAUAAAUUCACACUCCUAAAAUCUGUAUCCUGUGUAUAUAUGUUUCUGCAAAGCUGCUUUGAGACAACGUCCGUUGUUAAGAGACCUAAAGUGUGUUCGUGUGACCUUCGACCCUCCUGUGAGGAGAGCACUCGUGUUAAUCUGGUCUGAAGCCGCGUCCUCCGUGGCUUCUCCCUCGUCAGUUAUGCACACAUUAAUAUUUUAUGAGUGCAGCUGGAUAAUGCAGCACACGGCACGGCAUCAAAGCAGGACAUAAUGACACCGGAUUACAGACACAGAGACAGACAGGAAGAGACAGCGAUAGAUCGAGAGAUAGAAAGACACACUGGAAUGAAGAAUGAGCGCAUCUGAUUUAUAAAAAUGAUCCUGUGAAGAAACAUGUACGGUUGCCAGGUUUCAGCAAAAUAUCCCGCUACUACAUCCGAAAAAAAAAAAAAAAAAAAACUGUACAAGAAGACCUGAACCGAGCCCAAAGAUGCUGCUGCUGUAUGGCCAAACAGUGAAAAUGUAGUAGAGCUGGGCGAUAUAAUGACAUCAUACCUACAUCGUGAUCAAUUCUGACACAAUACACUUUUCAGAGAUAUCGCAGGUAUCGUGUUAUCUUUAUCAAACUUACUGUGUAGCAUCUUUAUAUAACUUAUUUUAUUAAGCUACAAUAUAGCUGAAGUGCACAACAACAGCGUUCCUCACCUGAUGUGCUUUUCCCUCAUGAAGCCUCAGCUUUCUUUACACUGUGACGUGAUUCACUGUAAUAUCAGCGCGGCCACUGCGACAGAAAUAGUUCUGCGGAUCGUACGUACACUUUCUGAUCUUACACGUUAGCUUCGUUUGCUGAAAAUGAUCAUUAAAAAAAGUUAUUCCUUUUUUUCCCCCCACCCUUUUUUUCCCUCACCAAUAGAGAACCACUGGUCCAUCCGUGGGUCCAGUUGGAUUGUUUUUGGUACCUGCUCAACACUGGGACCAACUGGACCUACAGGAAGAUUUCCACUGAGGUUCUGGAGUCUUAACUAAUCCUUACUAAAGGGUAAUUUUCUCGAGUUCCCCUUUAAGCAGCGCGCUGUGGAGCAUGUGAGCGCGCGUGCACGAGCAGGUUCGCGAGCACCUGCUUUUCCCUUGUGGACAAUCGUGACAUUUCGACACGUGCAUUUGUUAUGUUUCUGUCAUGUCUCCUCCCCGUUCUGUCAUUGGUGGUUGUUUCACGUGUGUCUGAAUCGCCCUGAGCCGUCAGCCAUUAAAACGCUGAUUAUGUUUGUAUAUACACCGCGCGCCCCCAACACACGGCGCAGGAUAUUGAGUCAGAUAGUAGAUUAGUUUAGAGUCCUUACGAUAGAGAACCACAGUCACAGUCCAUAGUUCCAUGUUUCGAGUCUUAGUCUUAGUCUUAGUCUUAGUUCAUAGUUCAUGUCAUGUUUAGGUUCGUUAGUUUAGUUCACGCUGCUUUCUCCGCUCCCAGUCCCUCGCUGUAGCUUAUGUUUCAUGUUUUGUAUCUCGACCCUGUUUUCCGUGACCGCGACCUUGAUUCCUGCCUCGCCCCGUGUACGCCUGUUUGCCGAUCGUCUGAACUUUGCCAGUUUUUGGAUUACGUUUACGGAUCACGUUUUGGAUUUUCCUGCCCGUGUCUCUCCUAAAUAAAACUGUUAUCCUGCACUUGCAUCCGUCCUAAUCUCCGUUACGUCACGAUACGUGACAGUAAUAGAACUAACUAGCUUCUACGAGAACCCUUUAUUUAAUAUUGUUCUAGAACCCCUUACUUAAGAUUGUUAUCGGACUUUUAGUUAAUAUAUUUCUAGAACCCCUUAGGUAAAAAUUGUUCAAAACCCCUUUAGUUAAGAUUGUUCUAGAACGCUUUAUUUCAUAUAUUUCUAGAACCCUUUAGUUAAGAAUGUUCUAGAACGUUUUAGUUAAUAUUGUUCUCGAACUUUUAGUUAAUAUAUUUCUGAGACCCAUUUAAAUUUUUUUCUAAACCCAUUUAGUUAAGAUUGUUCUAGAACCCUUUAAUUAAUAUGUUUCUAAACCCUUUAGUUAAGAUUGUCCUUUAGUUAAUAUAUUUCUAGAACCCUUUAGUUAAUUUUGUUCUAGAACC